UACAGAGGGUGCAAGCGUUGUUCGGAAUUAUUGGGCGUAAAGCGCGUGUAGGCGGAUUUGCCAGUCAGGGGUGAAAUCCCGGGGCUCAACCUCGGAACUGCCUUUGAUACAGCAAGUCUUGAGUUCGAGAGAGGUGGGUGGAAUUCCUAGUGUAGAGGUGAAAUUCGUAGAUAUUAGGAAGAACACCGGUGGCGAAGGCGGCCCACUGGCUCGACACUGACGCUGAGGUGCGAAAGCGUGGGGAGCAAACAGG
rnacentral:rRNA from 1 species